GAUGAACGCUGGCGGCGUGCCUAAUACAUGCAAGUCGAGCGAAUGGAUUAAGAGCUUGCUCUUAUGAAGUUAGCGGCGGACGGGUGAGUAACACGUGGGUAACCUGCCCAUAAGACUGGGAUAACUCCGGGAAACCAGGGCUAAUACCGGAUAACAUUUUGAACCGCAUGGUUCGAAAUUGAAAGGCGGCUUCGGCUGUCACUUAUGGAUGGACCCGCGUCGCAUUAGCUAGUUGGUGAGGUAACGGCUCACCAAGGCAACGAUGCGUAGCCGACCUGAGAUGGUGAUCGGCCACACUGGGACUGGGACACGGCCCAGACUCCUACUGGAGGCAGCAGUAGGGAAUCUUCCGCAAUGGACGAAAGUCUGACGGAGCAACGCCGCGUGAGCGAUGAAGGCCUUCGGGUCGUAAAGCUCUGUUGUUAGGGAAGAACAAGUACCGUUCGAAUAGGGCGGUACCUUGACGGUACCUAACCAGAAAGCCACGGCUAACUACGUGCCAGCCGCCGCGGUAA
rnacentral:rRNA from 1 species